AGGAUGCCCUCUAUGCUCAUUUUGAUAUUAUUUUGAAAAGGUCUUACCAAACUGGGAACGGCUAUUGAUCAGCAGUUUUUGAUGUUUUUUUGCUUGGCUUUUAUUUUUUGUAAUAAUAGGGUCCCUGAUUUCCCCCUAACCAUUUGAUGUCCUUUUCUUUUUUCAGAACUCUUCAGAACUGACACUUCACACUGGCAGUGAAGGAUGCUUCCCAGUUGUUUGCAGAGAGGUGGUGGGCCAUUGCUGUGGAGAAAGGUUUUCCAGUAUCCCUUGGAACACAUCUCCUUUUGAAACAGAAACCCAGAAGAAGGCUCAGACAUGAUUCAUACUUACUUGAAACAUCGUCACAGGAGGACUUAGCUUUGACAGAAGGCUCUUGGAAAUGAUUUUUUUUUUCUUGUCUUGGCUUGCACUUGAAUAAUUGUCCAUCAAGAGUGUGUCUGAUUGAGUUGGCAUCACCAACCCUUUUGUACGCUAUUUUUUUUUCUCCUUCAAGAAAUAUUAAAGUCUGAAUAAA
rnacentral:lncRNA from 1 species